rnacentral:rRNA from 1 species
UACGUAGGUGGCAAGCGUUGUCCGGAUUUACUGGGCGUAAAGGGCGUGCAGGCGGUUUGUUAAGUGCAGGGUGAAAGCUCCCGGCUCAACUGGGAGAGGUCCUUGCAUACUGGCGAACUCGAGGGGGGCAGAGGAAAGUGGAAUUCCCGGUGUAGUGGUGAUAUGCGUAGAUAUCGGGAGGAACACCUGUGGCGAAGGCGGCUUUCUGGGCCUUACCUGGACGCUGAGACGGCGAAAGCGUGGGGAGCGAACCGGGAUUAAGAAACCCUUG